rnacentral:lncRNA from 1 species
UUCUAAAAUAAAAAUAUUAAUAAAAUAUUAAAAUAGAAACCUUAAUUAAAUCCUAAUCAAAUCCUUAUUAAAUCCUAACUAAAUCCUAACCAAAUCCUAACCAAAUCCUAACCAAAUCCUAAUUAACCUUAAAUAAACUCUAAUCAAAUCUUAAUCAAAUCUUAAUCAAAUCCUAACCAAAUCCUAGUCAAAUCUUGAAUAAAUCUUCACUAAAUCCUAAUCAAAUCUUAACUAAAUCCUAAAUAAAUUCUAAUCAAACUCUAAUCAAAUCCUAAAUAAUCCAAGUAAUUCCUAUAGUAUAUUUAAACAUCAAUAACUAAAGAAUGAACUAUUGAUUUUAAUACAAAUUUUGCACACAUCUUCAAAAUAAAAUUAAUUAUAAGUACAAAUUUUUUGAAGAAGAUCGAACCUAACAAAAAAAAGAUCAAUCCUAAUAUUUACUCGGAUGUUGGUUGGUCUCCUUCUUCAAUCUGAAUGUUAAAUUUUCAAUUUCAAUAUCUCUUUAUUAAACCAUUCAAUUGAUCUCAAAUUUCUUACAUACAUAGAAAAAUAUAUUUAUUAUCCACUCACAUAACUUUCACUCCAAUUCAAUUGAUAAAUUACAAGAAAUCUUAGAAACCUUCACUAGACCUAAAACUUUACUUCCCAAGACUCCAACCCACUUAAACCUCAAUAAUCCUUGAUCAAAUCCUCUAAUCAAGCUAAAACUCACAACAUAUAUUUAACACAUAUAUACCCACAAAUCCUCAAAAUUUCACUUAUAAAUCUAUUGCCAAACUUACAAAAUUCUCCAAAAAUUAUCACCCACUUUAUUUCACAAAUCUAGAAUCAUCCAAAAUAAAUACACACUCAAAUCACAUUAAAUCAACAUUCAAAGAAAAUCUAUCAAGUCAA